rnacentral:rRNA from 1 species
AUUGAACGCUGGCGGCAUGCCUAACACAUGCAAGUCGAGCGGAAGCAGGGAGCUUGCUCCUUGAUUCAGCGUCGCGCGGGGGAGUGAUGCCUAUGAGUCUGCCUGGUGUUGGGGGAUAACGUCCGGCGACAGGCGCUAAUAUCGCAUACGUGCUGAAGGAGAAAAUGGGGGGGCUUCUGACGUCACGCUAUCAGAUGAUCCUAGGUCGGAUUAGCUAGUUGGUGGGGUAAAGGCCUACCAAGGCGACGAUCCGUAACUGGUCUGAGAGGAUGAUCAGUCACACUGGAACUGAGACACGGUCCAGACUCCUACGGGAGGCAGCAGUGGGGAAUAUUGGACAAUGGGCGAAAGCCUGAUCCAGCCAUGCCGCGUGUGUGAAGAAGGUCUUCGGAUUGUAAAGCACUUUAAGUUGGGAGGAAGGGCAGUGAGUUAAUACCUUGCUGUGUUGACGGUACCAAAAGAAUAAGCACCGGCUAACUACGUG